AGGGCACCACCAGGAGUGGAGCCUGCGGCUUAAUUUGACUCAACACGGGGAAACUCACCCGGCCCGGACACCGUAAGGAUUGACAGAUUGAUAGCUUUUUCAUGAUUCGGUGGAUGGUGGUGCAUGGCCGUUCUUAGUUCGUGGAGCGAUUUGUCUGGUUUAUUCCGAUAACGAGCGAGACUCUAGCCUACUAAAUAGUUCGCACAUUGUCUCUGUGUGUGUGACUUCUUAGAGGGACAAGCGGCGUCUAGCCGCACGAGAUUGAGCAAUAACGGGUCUGUGAUGCCCUUAGAUGUCCGGGGCUGCACGCGCGCUACACUGAAAGGGCCAACGUGCAUUAAACCCUUAUCCGGAGGGAUUGGGUAACCCCACGAAAUACUUUCGUGAUUGGGAUAGGGAAUUGGAAUUAUUUUCCCUUGAGCGAGGAAUUCCCAGGAAAGUGCCGGGGCAUAAGCUCGCGUUGAUUACGUCCCUGCCCCUUUGUAACACACCCGCCCGUCGUUUCUACGGAAUGGAACG
rnacentral:rRNA from 1 species